GACCUGAUGGUGUAGUUGGUAACACACUUGCUCAAAUUUGCGACCAUUUGAAUAGCAUAACCUAAUUCUGCAAGGGUCCUCGGUUCGAAUCCGGUUCAGGUCA